rnacentral:rRNA from 1 species
CGCGUAGGUGGUUUGGUCAGUCAGAUGUGAAAGCCCUGGGCUUAACCUGGGAACUGCAUUUGAUACUGCCAGACUAGAGUAUGGUAGAGGGAAGUGGAAUUCCGGGUGUAGCGGUGAAAUGCGUAGAUAUCCGGAGGAACAUCAGUGGCGAAGGCGGCUUCCUGGACCAAUACUGACACUGAGGUGCGAAAGCGUGGGUAGCAAACA